rnacentral:tRNA from 1 species
GCGGACGUGGUGAAAAUGGCUAUACACGCUACCUUGAGGUGGUAGUGCCCGCAAGGGCGUGGAGGUUCGACUCCUCUCGUCCGCACCA